AGCAGCAGCCGCGGGAAUACGUAGGUCCCGAGCGUUGUCCGGAUUUAUUGGGCGUAAAGCGAGCGCAGGCGGUUAGAUAAGUCUGAAGUUAAAGGCUGUGGCUUAACCAUAGUACGCUUCGGAAACUGUUUAACUUGAGUGCAAGAGGGGAGAGUGGAAUUCCAUGUGUAGCGGUGAAAUGCGUAGAUAUAUGGAGGAACACCGGUGGCGAAAGCGGCUUUCUGGCUUGUAACUGACGCUGAGGCUCGAAAGCGUGGGGAGCAAACAGGAUUAGAUACCCCAGUAGUCCCUGUCUCUUAUACA
rnacentral:rRNA from 1 species